ACAACACUAUGCUUUUAUACAAAAAAAACAAGCAACCAUUUAGGAUGCGUUUGGUUAUACUUUUUGAUUUUUGAUUUUUUAAUUUUUAAUUUUUAAAAAUAUUUUUAUUUUUUUAAUUUUUAUUAUUGAGUAAAAAUAAAAAAAUAAAAAAUAUUUGAUAAGUACAUUGCUAUAAAGCAAAAAGUAAUAUUUGAGAAUGGUAGGUGAAAGAUUCAACGUGGAAGAAAGGUU
rnacentral:lncRNA from 1 species